rnacentral:lncRNA from 1 species
GUGUGCCAUUGCAAGAAAUAGUUUUGCUCGUUAUUUUGUCAUAUUAAAAAAAAUUCUCAACAAAAUUUUCCCGUUUAAACUGUACUAGAAAAAAGUUUGGCAUGUGAAACGGACGAAAACAUAUUCUAACAGAAGUACAAAUACCAGUCCUCUCUUUUGUGUAUACAUAUGAGAAAACAUUUCAAAGUUAUUGAUUGAAUUCAAAUCCAUCACACAUAC